AUUAAAUGGCCGCGAUAAUUUGAUCGUGCAAAGGUAGCAUAAUAAUUAGUUUCUUAAUUGGGAACUGGAAUGAAAGGUCGAACGAGAAAAAAUCUGUCUCAAUUUAAAUUUGAUUAGAAUUUUAUUUUUAAGUUAAAAAGCUUAAAUAUUUUUUAAAGACGAGAAGACCCUAUAGAGUUUAAUAUUUUUAUUUUUAUUUUUUAGUUUAAGAAUUUAAUUUUAAGAUUAAUUUAAAAAUAUUUGGUUGGGGCGAUUAAAAAAUUAGAAAAACUUUUUUUAUUUAAGUUAACAUUGAUUUAUGGUUAAGUGAUCCAUUAAUUAUGAUUAUAAGAUUAAAUUACCUUAGGGAUAACAGCGUAAUUUUUUUUGAGAGUUCUUAUCGAAAAAAGAGUUUGCGACCUCGAUGUUGGAUUAAAAU
rnacentral:rRNA from 1 species